rnacentral:rRNA from 1 species
UGGCGGCGUGCUUAACACAUGCAAGUCGAACGGUGAAGCCCAGCUUGCUGGGUGGAUCAGUGGCGAACGGGUGAGUAACACGUGAGUAACCUGCCCCUGACUCUGGGAUAAGCCUUGGAAACGAGGUCUAAUACCGGAUACGUGACGCUCAGGCAUCUGAUGCGUCUGGAAAGAUUUAUCGGUCAGGGAUGGACUCGCGGCCUAUCAGCUUGUUGGUGGGGUAACGGCCCACCAAGGCGACGACGGGUAGCCGGCCUGAGAGGGCGACCGGCCACACUGGGACUGAGACACGGCCCAGACUCCUACGGGAGGCAGCAGUGGGGAAUAUUGCACAAUGGGCGCAAGCCUGAUGCAGCGACGCCGCGUGAGGGAUGAAGGCCUUCGGGUUGUAAACCUCUUUCAGCAGGGAAGAAGCGCAAGUGACGGUACCUGCAGAAGAAGCGCCGGCUAACUACGUGCCAGCAGCCGCGGUAAUACGUAGGGCGCAAGCGUUGUCCGGAAUUAUUGGGCGUAAAGAGCUCGUAGGCGGUUUGUCGCGUCUGCUGUGAAAACUCGAGGCUCAACCUCGGGCUUGCAGUGGGUACGGGCAGACUAGAGUGCGGUAGGGGAGACUGGAAUUCCUGGUGUAGCGGUGGAAUGCGCAGAUAUCAGGAGGAACACCGAUGGCGAAGGCAGGUCUCUGGGCCGCAACUGACGCUGAGGAGCGAAAGCAUGGGGAGCGAACAGGAUUAGAUACCCUGGUAGUCCAUGCCGUAAACGUUGGGCACUAGGUGUGGGGCUCAUUCCACGAGUUCCGUGCCGCAGCAAACGCAUUAAGUGCCCCGCCUGGGGAGUACGGCCGCAAGGCUAAAACUCAAAGAAAUUGACGGGGGCCCGCACAAGCGGCGGAGCAUGCGGAUUAAUUCGAUGCAACGCGAAGAACCUUACCAAGGCUUGACAUACACCGGAAA